CAGAAUUCUGGCUGAGGGACCACGGAGCAGGGGCCAUGCACCUCUAGACCUCUGGGCUUCAGUUUCUCAUGAAAGACUGAGCUACUCCACGGGCAUUUGAAUUGUACAUCUUUAAAGUAAAAACAGAAUGCAAAAACGUCCCAAAAUAUUACGCAGGAGGUCGUUUGUGUUGUGUUUUUUUUUAAUCGCUUUUCCCAAAAUGGUACCCUGAGGUAAUCCCUUCUUAAACCUUCCAGCAAUCAAAACAAUGUGGUUGCAAAAGUUUACAACUUUAAAGCCUUUCAAAGGUCACCUCCCAGCCUCACACCCUCUCGCAUUAAGAGUGUAACGGAUACUUUGAGUCACAUGUAUUGUUCUCGUUCAUUUGCAUUUGGUGAAAUCCCUCCUUUGGACCAAUUUAGUAAGCAGUGUGCCUUGGGGUCUCUUGGUAAUAGUUCUCUUGUCUUCUCUAUUUUUUUCUGUCCAAAAUAGUUGGACUCCCAACAGAUAAAACGAAGAUGCAGCCGUUGUGCUGUAUGCUUUCUUUUUGCUCAGAUGGUUUUUCCAUCUUGGUUGGGAUGGAAUUCUUUCUGCUUCCCAACAAAGUAAGCCCGUCAGGGCUGAUGUUUACUCCACCAAGCUCAGCUCUCUCCUCAGCCCCUCGCUGCCCAACCUUCUGUGGAACCGACAUGCUUCUCCAUGUCCGGCUCAGGUGGUUCAGUCUGCGCCGCUUGGACGUGCCACUGAAGGCCUUCCUGGGAGAGUUCUAGUGCCAGUCCCAAAGGGCAGUUUUAAAGAAAGCUAGCCUACGUUGAAAGUGGAUCCCCAAGCGCCACUCCCCAGUGAGGGGCUUCCCACUAAUGGAGAUUCUCACCUCCAAAUAUAGUGCAUGGCAAAGAGCCCUCAGGCCCGGGACCCCUGCUCCCCGCCAGAUGCGCCGCGCUCGCCAGCUGUCACGGGAGACGGGCGUGCUUUAUGAGGCCGCCUGCUCUCUCCCCCGGCUCCAUGUGCAGGCCAACGGGGCUGGCUUUUAGAAACAUAUUUCCUUCUCUAUGAGUAAUUUAAAAGUGACUCAUGCUCAGCUUCACCAGCCGGUACAUGUGACCCGCCGUGCUGGUUGAGUGUAUCUAUAGAUGUGUAAACCAAAGCAGUUCUUAGAACACAGAUUUCCCCCCGCCCACGUGCUGUUUAUUUCCCUUCACCUCUCGGGGACGGAGCAAGCGUAACACAGAUGAGCUUCUGGCGCGGCCUGCUCCGUUCUCGAACCAUUAGAGGCAGCAAAGCACAUCAUCCAACAGGAGAAAAUCAAAGGGACCCGGGGAGGAAAGAGACUGGAGAGCAACCUAAUAAACUUAUUUUAUGUUAGUAGAUGAUCAGGAAGCUCUGAGGAAAAUCCACAAAAAUCUAAUACGAUGAGGAUCCAUAUAAAUGAAACGACUCUAAGUUCUGUGUUUUUCUGUCCCAGUGGAAACUGAGACCUAAAGAAGUAGAGGUCACACACACACACACACACACACACACACACACACACACACACCACCGUUUCUUCAUUUCUAAAACAAAAAAAACAUCUCUGGGAUCUGCUGUGGUUUGACUGAUAACUCCACACAUUAAAAUGCUUUUAUUUCCCCAGUUUGUCUUUAUUCCUCCAUCACUGGAGGAUGGUGCAAGGCCUGGCUUGGGGACACGGCUGCUGCAGGAAGGACGUCGGGUGACACAGCUGCCACGCACUCUAGAUAGUGUUUCCUACCUCCUUCUCACUUCCUUUUUUCUAUUAAACCAAACCUAAAAACUCAUUUGCCUGCUUUAUGAAGCCCUCCAUAACCUGGCCUCUCUCACUUUGUUUUCCAGCACUGCCUUUGUGCACCAUGUGGUUGGUGCUUGGCCAGCAUCACCGCCCCUCCAAUGAGCCGAACUGUCCCCACCCCAAAGCUUCACCCAUUCCCUCCAAAGCCCACCUCACCACUCUCCAUCUCUUCAACCUCAUGGUGUCUUCUUACCUGCACCCCCCAAGUCUUAACCCAGUGCCCCACCUCAGCUCCUCCCCACUGAACACCUUCGUGAAGCCUAACGGGACCGUUCGAGCUAUCUUAACAUCUUUUCUCCAGGACUUCUCCACUGCUUCAUUAUGUCCGCUCUCCGGUUUUGUUCUGCUACUUGAUAUGUGAUAGUCGUAUGUCUGCAGUUUGGCUACAAGUUCUUCGAGGAAUGGAUUCACAUAUUUCACCCCCAUACAUAUCCACAGCAAUGACGGGAAAUGGACAGAGCGCUAUGCGCAGGCAUUGACCUAUGCAUUUAGCAAACACCAAUUCAUCUGAGCUUCAUACUGACCCAGCCAUGUGGGUCCUCUUGUUACACCCCACUUGACAUAUGAGGAGCCUGAGGCAGAGUAGAUGACACAUCUGAAACCACACAGCUAGAAAGUGGCCGAGCUGGACUCACACACAGGCUGUGUGGCUCUUUUCUGUGCUCUCAGGAGCUCUGCUAUAUUCCUGUUGACAGGUGUGUGUUUUUAAGAGCCUGUCUUCUGCACGGAUACCUUGUUGCAGUUAUGUAUACUGAAACCCAUCAUCCCUCAGGUCCAGCGUAAAGAGAACUGGUGGUUAGCCAUCAUCUUCCAGGGAAACAUCAAAAAAUAGUAUGGCAGUAUGGGAGCUAAAUAAAUAGUAUCUUCUUUUAAGUGAAGGGAGUAAAAUCUGCUAGUCCAUCCUGGUGAACCUACAAAAUGGUAUCACCUAUGCUAAUGCAGAAACACCAGGUUCAAACCUCUGGGCAGCCUUGAGGUGGGGUCCUCUUCAGACCCAUCUUCUGAUACACCCAACAGAAUCAUCCCAAAUCCUCAGUUUUUCAACACAAACAAACUCAAUAAAACCCAAAUCAUAGCUGCAGUUAGAUUUGUUUACUCUAUUUAAAAUCUGAUCUUGCAGGCCCACACGUGACGUGCUUGAGCACUCCAGAUUGGGUGCAAGAAGAAAAACCUCAUCCUGGUGGUCAAAUCGUGGCAGGAAAUGAUGCCACCGGCAAUUAUUUAUGUAUUAGCAGUUGCUUAAAUACCAUAAGGCUUUUAGGGGAAAAGAUAGGGAGGCAGUGGUUGGAAAUGAAGCCCCAUUAUUAAUGUUGUCAAGCUAUUCAGCUGGAUUCAAUAAAAUAAAAAGCCUUGCCCAGCCCAGUGUCUGUAGUAGAAGAUGCUAAGAGCUGUUUUUUAAAAAUCUGCCUUUAUUGAAUCCAGGCUUUAUGCACAGCAUUCCUUCUUCCUGAAUGGCUGAAAAAUCACCCUAUGCAUUUUAAGCCCUUGGAGAGGAAAUGGACUAAGCUGUGUCAAGAAAGCACAGUUAGAUUUAAGGCAGAGAACUUCAUAAUGUUCAGGUGAUCAAAACCUUGGUAGCCCUCUGGAUGUACUGUCAAGACAGGCUGUGGAAUUCUCUUUUGUCAAUUUAAUUCAGGUGAUAAACCAUCCCUAGGAGUCUACGAGGUGCCAGGUGCCAUGCAGGCCCUGCGCCGCCCUGCGCAUAGGUGAACACAGCGUGCAACCUGUGCUCAAGAGGUAUUUACAGCCCAGGGGAGGGAACCAGAGCUCGGGGCUGACUAACACUGAGAGAAGGGCUCUGGUUUGGAUGAACAUCGUUUGGUAUUGCUGUGUGUGUGUGUGUGUGUGUGUGUGUGUGUGUGUGUGUGUGUGUCCAUCUCCCUGGACUUGCUGCUGUCAUUUUCCAUGUCUCUGGCUCUGUCUUCACUGUCUUCAGAUAGUUUUGUCCCUAUCCCCCAGGCCACAAGCCUUAGGCCUCUGCUCAGCAAUGCAAUUUAUACUGGUCAGUGAUGCUGGGGGACCUUUCUGAGCCCAAGUCUCUUGAGCGCCAGUUGGCUACACAACCUUUCAGGAAGCCCCGGGAGGAUUGUACUCCUUGGGGGAAGGCAUCAGGCCUGGUGUUCAAGGUUCACCUGCUCAACAAACAUUCACUGAAUCUAAGAGCCCAGACACAGAGGGGGAGAAAAGAAAGAUGAGGUAAGACUGUCCUCAAGGACCUCAUGAUCUAGGGAAGGAACAAAAAGGCCUCAGCCCGAGGGAACGUGCAAGUCACAAACAACGAUCUGGCCGUGUUAAAACAGAGGCAACUCCCAGGGAAGGUCAGAUUGAAUCCGUGAUCAUGGAAAACCCAUGUUCCAGAUGCACAGAGUUCUUGGGUCAGAUCGCCUCACGAGCCAUUCUGUCUACCCAUGAGCGAGUCCAUUGCCUUUUCCUUAGACCAUGGGCCUUAGUCCAAUAUCCACUGUGGUCAGCACUGUGGGCACACAAGGCACAAUGCCCCUCGGUAGGAGAACGCACAGCUGGCUGCUCUCCGCAGGAGGGCACAGCGGGCACUCAGGGCCUUAUGGGCUCCCAACGCAGUGCCCCAGAGAGAGACAGCUCCUGGGAGCAGAGGGACACCAGGAGAGACAGUCCAGGGAUGAAGGGAAGUCUGUGGAAGAGGGGAGACUGGGGCAAGCCUUGGAUUGGCCUUGAAAGACAAAAGGAAUGGGAUUCAGGGGGCGGGGUGGGGAGGCACCUCAGGCAGACUAGCUGCCAAGCGCUCUGGAGGGGAAGCGACAGCACAUGCGUGUUCCAGCUGGCUCCGAGGUGGUGUCCCUGUGGGGUGAUGUCCCCAUCACCAGCUCUGUUACUUCUCGUUCUCCUAAGAUGCCCGCAAAGUCAUGCCAUGCCUCCAGCUCCAAUUCCUUCCUGUCCACUUUGCAGUCGCCCCUUCCAGGCUAUGACAACACUGAUGACACCCUUCUUCAGGCAGGUCACAGGACCUGGUGAGCCUGAGCUGACAGCUGAACUAUGCCCACUGCCCUCAACUUCCCAGGAUGGCAUGUGAUGCAGUCCCUUUACUCCCACACCUUGUCAGCCACUGUAUGCCAAAGGCAGAAAGAGAGCAGAGGAGACAGAACACCCAACGAUGGGAAAUGCGGAGAGAACCCACUGACUGAGAACAUUUGUAUAAGGCCACAAACAGUAACCAGCCCAGAGGACACCCUACGGGUCACCAGGUCAGCUGUCACUGGUGAAGACCAACAGUACUCAGAUCAUGGAAAAUGGCGCUGUGCUGGAUGCCGGCACUGCUGCUGCAGAGGUACAGGUGUCGUCCCUGCCUACAGAGUUCACACUCCAACCAGCGAGACCAGCAACUGACAAACUCUUCUGCUGCAACGUGACCAGGGGCUGUGUGGAGGUAUGCAGGAAGCGCCAGGGGAGCAGGAUGGAAGGUGGAUCUCUUUCUAACGGGUUUGGUGGACUCCUCUGGCGUAUAAUUCUAUAAUAAAUGGGUCUCGUAGGUCUCAUUGCUGCAGGCUUUCCUCUUUCACAGUCUCCUCUUCUGUCUCUCUCCCCCUACCUUCAUCUCUUCUUUCCUCCAUCACCCAUUCAUCUACCUCUCUCUCUCCAUCUACCAUCUAUCAAACAAUCAAUCAAUCAAUAAUUUAUCAGUAUCUUUCUAGAACACUUUAAAAUCACAUAACUUUCUAAGGUAGGUUCCUCUUCUUGCUGCAGAGACAGACUGCCUACCAAAGAUAAUCUUGCCAAAGUGAAAGUUGACCAAGGGAGAUUGGGGUUCCUUCUUGGGAGGUCUUUAAGACAGGAUUGUUCUUAUCUGGCAGGAAUGGUUGGGUUCUGCCUAAAGGCAGCAGGGCCAAUUAGAGGACUUUUUGAGGGCCCCUGUAUAUCCUUGUUUCCUAACAGCUUUGCCAAGAACAGGUUAGGGACCCGGGACCCUGAGCAGCUGCCACCCUUUGGGUACUGGGAGUCACUGCUGCCCAGGCCAAAAGCUGAGGUGAGGAAUGGCAGCCCAGAGGGUACAUUUCUGUAGUCUCUGAGGUCCCUAUUGCAGCUAGCUGCCCUUCUAUUAGAGACUGCCAACUCUGCAUGGAGUCAUAUCAGACCUAUAAUCACCCACAACCGACGACAAGAGGCAAAAAUCCAUGAGAUGCUUGAACUCAGAAUUUUGCUACGUAGCUUGCAUUUUCAGAUGCCCUAAAGCUUCUGAUCUGUUUCCAGUGGGAGGGAAAUGUAGAAUGCUCCAUUCACUGGUAAAUUUGGCCUCUAUGCCAUAGAUUUCAAAGGUUCCCUCAUCUUCUGUUAUGUAUAAAGUUCUCCUGGAAUGUCAGGGCUUUUUAGAUGCUCCACAUAUCCAUGGGCAGGGAAAGGGAAAUCUGAGGGUGCUAUCUAGGAACGUUGCUGGCUAAGGCACGUUCUCUACUUAAUCCAAGCCAAAGGGCUAGCCACCCUAAAGAGCUGAACACAAACAGCACCCUGUCCCACACACUAAGCAGGCUCAGUGGUCAUAAGUCUUUAUCUUGGAGUCUUAACUGCCUUCGGUAAGAGCUGUUUAUUGACCUAACAGCACUGAACCAAUAGGCCUACUCCUGAGGCUCUGGUUUAUUCUCUUGGAGAAGCUCUAGUCACGGAUUCUGAAAGGGCCUCACUGGUCUACAGGCACAGGCAGGAACCCUGUAAUAGAUGUCUAGUGACAUUUAUUCCCUAAUUGAUUCCAAGGAGGGCUCCUUCAGAGUUACCAGAAGCAACCAGGCCUUGUUUUCUAAAUUAAAUGCAGACAAAAGAGUUUGCAUUUUCUUUUAGGGAUAGAUACCAAGGGCCAUCAUCAAGGUGAUUUUAAUCCUAUUUUAAAUUUUAUUUUGGGGGGAGAACAGAGGUGAUCUGUUUAUAUUCUUUUACAUUUUUUGAUAUAUUCUUUGUAAUAUAAUAUCCAAGCUCAUAAAAUUGAUGCCAUACUAUGAUUAAAAUCAGUGAUCAGCCCCAGAGAUGAAGCCUGGCAUGGCGGCCAAGAGCACACACACAGGUUUCUCCCCAGCUGAGCCACUUAGGACUGCAUGAUCUUGGGCAGGGCACUAAACAAAUAUUCCGUGCUUCAGUUUCUUCAUCUGUACAGUGAGGUUAAUGAUAGUACCAACUUCAUUAGGUUCUUGCCAGGAUUAAAUAAAUUACAAUAUGUAAUAUGUUUAAAGCAGUGCCUGGCACAUGGUAAGUGCUCUAUACUAGCUAUUAGUAUUUUUAUUAAGAAUGAAUAAAUCAUGGAGCUAACCAUACCAAGCAGACAAGGCAGCAUCUAGGAACAUGGGUUUUAAGUGGGAUGUAACAAUAUUGCCAAGAACUUGGAACAGGGCCUGGUACAUAGGGGUCAGUGGUCAAUGUUAGCCAUUAAUGCCUCUGGCACCUGGACUCUACUUUUAUUUGAACUGUUACUUAUGACCUUGACUUAUCCUUGCAGAUUUCUGUGAAACUACAUUACAUUUUGCUUCUUCUCUGCCACCUUUGAUGUUCAGGGAGAAAAGGCCCAGACUCCAGCCCCAGGUCAGAGGGAAUCCUCUGCUAACACGGUGAGAUGCAGAGUCAUAUUCUGAUAAAGGACCAGUUAGUUGGGUCCCACUGUGGAGUUCUUUUUCCCUGCUUCAUUGUCCUACUGCACGCUUUCCCCUGCAUCCUCUCUUUAUACUUAAGUCUUCAAUAUUUGGGGCCACCUCCACCCUUGGAACCUUCAUUCUCUCAUAUUUCUGUUUUGCACAUAAGGAAACACAAGUACAAUUGACAGCAUGGAAAGGGGACAUGAAAUCAGUCAGGCUGGUCACAGAAGGUCACCGCAUUGCUGCUGGCAGCUGACUGGACAUCAGUACAAGAAUAAUAACUAUUGGAUGCCUUAUUCCAAAACUUAGAAUCAGAUACAAGACAGCACUUUCAUUAGGUUCCUGAUAGACUUCUUUUGAGAGUAUUAAUAAAAUACCAUGAACAGUUUCUGUGGGAUUUUCUCACUGUUAGAAUUGAUGUCUUCUUCUAUUCUGGGUUCAAAAAGAACUUUUCUGUAUAAGUUCAAAGACCAUGUUUUGCCAGUCUAUUCAUAGCCAUGUGUGAUGUGGAUCUACCGCCCUGCAGAUGACUAGAGUUUACUGUAUAAUUUUUGAGUUUCAGUCUUCAUGCCAGACUAAUGGGUCUAAGAAAAAAAAAAGCAUCUUAAUUUCAAAGAUCUGGCCUUUUAACCUUUUAGGAAAUGAAAGCAUUUAAAUGACCUGCUGAUACAGUUCUUAGUGGCAAUCCUGCAAUUCUACUUGCACAGUGUGAAUGAUCCUGAUUCACUGCUGGGGUUAGGGAGGUUAGGAGACCCUGAUAAAUACAGAUAAAAGUGCAGAGAAAAUGCUUAGCAACUGGAGGCCCAGCAGGGUUGAGAAGGCUUGCAAGAGAAAAGCACAAUCAUGAACUGAGAAGGGAUGUCCCUGACAACAACGAACAGAUUGAUGACAUCAUUUAUUCUUGUGCAAGUCUAGUUCAGUAUGUUCACAAAAGUGCUAUGCAAUGCACUGGAUAAAAGGGAAGUGGAAGGCCUUCCAGAAGAGAGGGAGUCAAAUAUAUUGGGAAGAAUGCCUCAAGUUUGGGGAGAUAGAGAUAAUAAAUACAACUAAUAUAACAAGAGACUUCAACUCUGACCCACAGCUGGGCUAACACAUGCAAGGCACAGAUUAUUCUCACUGACCGUCAUAAUGUCCAGCGCUGGGCUGAUUCACAGUCUCUGGAGUUACAAACCCAGUGAAUGAAUGCAAUCUCAAUGAACAAUUUCUAAAGAGGAUGGAGACCUCACUGGGUAAUUACUUUAUUCAUACUUCCAUUCAUUUACUCACUCAGUGAAUAUCAUUUAUUGAUUCACAAGUAUUAUCCCAUAGUCACCCGUUUAUUGAGCAAGAACAACGCAGAUAUUAAUGAUUCUGGGCCUGGUUGACCCUGAAAACUGGGGAGAUGGGACUUGCUUUUUAAUCUAAAUAUAAUUAUUUUCCCAGCUUGGAUCUUCAAGGAGUCAAGGAUCAUGCCCUUAGAGCAGGGAUCAAAAUGAGAAGGGGUGCAUUUUAAACCACCAGUUCUCCUGAAAAUUCAAAAAGCCUCCUAUGAGGUCAUGAAGAUAGAAAAGUCAUCUUUAUGGUGUGCAGAUGGGGCUCAACUCAGCAUUCACUCCUCUCCUAGCUCAUCUUUCUCUUCAUUUGCACCACUAUCUGCGUUUCCCCUGGCUCUGCACUGGGUGUCUAUAAAACAGCGAUUAAAAACUGGUGUGUAGGAGGGGAGGCAGCAUAUUGUCGAGCUUGAAAUUAUCUUUCAAAACAACAAAAAGUUCAGUUCCAGUAUAAAAGUUGUGAUCAACUGUUCUCUUUGUUUUAUUCCUGAAAGAAAUAGGCACAUCUAAGAUGAAGAAAAACUGUGUUUCAGUAUACAUCACAUGGGCUCACUGUUAAAAUACUCAAAUGCCAACAACACCAAUUCUACCUGAACAUUCUGGGUGUUAUUUGUUUAAACAUGUUUGUUUUCUUAGUUAAGCUAAAAAUAUGUUCCCCUGGUGUUUCUGAAGGGAUAUUUAGACUAAAAUAAAAAUAAAUGACAUGUUUAAAAAGUUAUAUUCACCAGACCUGGAGCAAAGUACAGAAAACAGAUAGAGGAAGUGAAUUUUAGGACCUGUGUAGUAGUUUUCCUAUUUUGGCUGCUCUAAAUAGACAUGGAAAAACAAAUUGAGAGAAGAAAGUACAUCCCCACCCUGUACAAGUAACAAAUGAAAAACGAUUCCUCAUAUUGAGUUAAGCUUAGAAAUCAAUGAACAUAUGUUAUAUAAUAAUUUUUCCUGUUAUUACAUAUCAAACCCUGUUACAAUGAAGUCUAAUAAUUGUACAAAACCUCUUUUGGUAUCAGACUUUUUAUCAUUGGGUAUAUUCUUGACAUAACCAAGCUUAGAAAUCUUAGGGAGUGGUGAUCACCAAGAAAUAUUGUAGAAUAUUGACUAUGAUCAAUUUGACCUGCAGUUUCUUUUAAGUGAGAAAAAUAUAAAGAAUCUUAGCUUAGAAUGGGACAUUAGGGUGUCCUCACAUGGAUUAUAGAUACUAUGACUCUGUGAAAUCCAUAAAUUCCCUGAAAAUAUUAGGUUAAGUUUCCUGUGUUUGAAAAUUUUUCUGGGGAGGAGGUACACAGUUUUAAUUUAAUUCUCCAAGGAGAUAUAGACACAAAUGUUUAUGCACACACACUCAUUUAAUUUUGUGGAAUUCUAUUAAGUACCACAAAGCAUACCCUCUUUUUGAAAGAUUUAUUACCUGCCAUUUCACCUAAGAUGCCAUGCUGAGUGACAAGUCAAAGUUAAGGAGGUCUUGAUAUUCUGUGGAAAUCUACCAUAUUUUGUCAAAAGUCACCUUCCUCAAAUACAACCUUCAUUCAAGAGGCUGACAUGAGUGGUCAGUCGCUUUCCAAGAUCACAUACGGCUCAUUCCCUAAAUCCUCAGUGAGCCAAAGUAUUAGCCCUCAUGAAAACUACCAGAUAAGAAUGUUUGAACCUAAAUGUUGCAGUAAUUCUCCUGUAUGGAGCCUCAGAAGAUGCAAACUAAUUUGAAGAUUAUGAAUUUGUUGGCUGAUGAAAAAGAAGUAGAUAGGGAAUACAUUUUAACUUAGACUUGGAAGAGGCAGCCACCCAAAUGCCAUCAUUACACUAGCUAACAGUGUGCUAUUCUAUCUACAAACUCUUUCACAUAAAUUAUUUCCAGGAGUCAUACUCAAAAUGUUUAAAACCAGCCUAGUGUGUGCCCAGACCAAGCAGAAUAGAUUUCAGCUGGCUGUAAACAACUGGGAAAGCUGUGCUGAGACGUCCUUGGUGAAUUCCAACCCUAGUUAGUUCCAACCCUAGGACCUCAGGCCAGGUCCCUAUCGGUGCUAAACCUGUUUUACCAAUGGGUUUGUGAAACUCUAAAGUGAGGAAACCGGAGCUCAGGUGAGUUGAGAAAUGGUCCAGACCAACAGGCUACUAAAUGGUAGAGAUGAGAGUCAAAUCCAAGUUUUCUGACACCAAAUUUUCUGUCCUCCCCUGACUACACUGGUGCCCAGACAUGUUCUUGGGGAGACUAGACUGCUUGGAGCCCCAUGCCACAUGGCACAGCAUAGCUAUUGAUUGGGACCACUCAGGAGGCGAUCUAUUUAGAUAUGUUCUUGGGGCUGACAGGACAGUGACCUCCACUCUCCAGCUUUCUGUGGGGCUUGCACCCCUCAAAACCGAGUGAUGGCAGGCUGGACAAUUACCACCAGCUUCUGGAAUCCUUAAAGCCUGAGACAAGGGAGGCAACACACCAGAGAUCUGACUUGGGAUAAAGGGAAUGAAGUCGACGUGGGAUGCUGGGAAGGGAGGUGGACAUCGUGGACGGCAGUUUCAAGUAAGGUAAAUCUAGAAAAUGAUCUCAGCUUCAACUCCUGCCACUGUCGUUUGGUCGUGUACUUUCCCAGGCGAGCCGUUCAGCUUGCUCCGCUCAGCAUUCUGCAUGGUCCACUGGCAGGAUAUGACUUUAGGAGGACGGGGAGCAGUGGCAGGAAUGCAAAUGAGUGUUUUGAGAACCCUUGUGAUAAAAUCACUUGCAGACUAAUCAGUAUUUUCCAUAAUGAUGAGACUCAGUCUGAGAAACGGAUCUCUCUCAUCCUCUCUCCGUGCCUUUCUGACACGAGCCCCACUGUGUGUGGAGGGAGGCCUAGGGGGCCAGUGUGGGUGCUCAGGCACCUGGGGGCCAGGGCUCUAAGACCUUCCUGCUGUUGGCUCAUGACUGGACAUUUGUCGGCCUCACAGUGUCCAGUGCGUAGUAAGUAUUUGCAGAGCAAAUAUUUUUUGAUUGAAUGAGCGAGUGAAGGAAUGAGUGAACAAAAUAAUGAGUGAUUGAAUGAGUGAGUGGUAGCUGUAUACUACCAAGGGCAGAAAUACUCAGACUUCAGUGGAUUUCUGGGACUCCCCCUGGCCAGGUAGAAUGUUCCAAACAGGCCUUUCCUGAGGGCAGGUGAAGGAUUAACUAUUCAGCGAAAUCCUUGCAAACCUCAUCUUAUUGCCUCUACCACCAUGCCUCUCCAUAAAACGAAGAAAAGCACAAAGAACACUUAAAAAAACAAAGCCUAACCUGGGGCCUCUGAAUCCAGGUGCAGGCCCCUCCGUGCCAACAUGCCGGAUGGUCCCCCUGCAGUUCUCAGUGGCCAUGCUGGGCCUCCUAUGGUCGUGCUGGCCACUCAGCUUAGAAAGCCCUUUCUUCUCCCUCACUGCUUCCUGAACAACUCACCUUAGGAGACCAGGGGCAAGUUCCACGUCACUGCGACAGGCCCUCCUCACCACACUUGUCAUCAUUUCCCCUGGUGCUGGUUGAGGAUGGCCUUGGACUGGAAUCUGCUUGUGUUUUAAUUUGGAUCACAGCUUCUCCAGGACGAGAGAACCUUGUACCAGGCUUGAGAGAUGGAUGUUUGUUGUUGAAUAACAAAGACAUCACGGCAACGGGGGCCUGUUCCUUCAAGUGCUUUGGCUUUUAUAUUUUUAGGGACCCUCUGGAAACAGAGUCUCGAACUCUGGGGCAAGAAACAGUGCCGGGCUCUCAGAGGGGCUGGAGGAGCAGGGCGACAGGACGUCGGAGGAGUUGAGGGUCUGGGCUAGCCAGUCUGUGGGCGGAUGACUGGCCAGGGAAGGGCUGGAUAUGCUCUUCCUGCGCCACGUUUCCCCACCUCCAGUAAGCGACACGGAGGCAUGUGAACUCACCCCUCCUCAAAGCACAGCACCACCAAGCCGGCCUGCACGGGUGUGUAGGAUGCACACACCUCUCAACAGUGCUGCCGUCCCCUCCAUCCUCUGUCAGGGGCACGUUCCAAGACCCCCAGGGGAUAUCUGAAACCUCAGGUGGUACUGAAUCGUGUUUCUCCUAUUUCACAUACUUGUAAUGAAGUUUAAUUUCUAAAGCAGGCACAGUAAGGGAUUAGCAACAAUAACCAAUAAUCAAAUAGAACAAUUAUAACAAUUUAAUAAAAUUGUUCUAGUAAUAUAACAACUGUGAUUAAAGGUAUGUGAAUGCGGUCUCUCUCUCUCUCAAAACAUCUCACUGCCAUACUCCCCUUUUUUUAUGGUGACAUGAGGUGAUAAAAUACCUACGUGAGGGUGUGAAGUGAGGUGAAUGACACAGGCGCUGUGACGUAGCCGUUAGGCUGCUAUCGACCUUUUGACAAUACGUCCGGAGGACGCUGCUUUGGGACUGCAGCUGGCCAGGGAAACCAAAACCAGGGAUAAGCAGACAUUUCUGUAUUUGGUGGUCAGCCACUUCCACCUCCCUCAGCUCACAACCCAGCCUGCCACCAGGGUGGGAACAGGAUCAGGGCCCCUGGGGUCCUAGUUCUGAGGCACGUCCCCCGCACAAGCGCGCUCAAGAUAAAUCGAUAGGAGACGGGGUGGGGGUCAUGAAAGCACUUGGCUGCGGCAUAAACUGUCAGCUGGUCGUGGUUCAUGCUGCUUUACUUACAAAUGCACCGAGUAACGGAUUUCGCCAAUUCUCAUCCUCAGGAGAUGAUCUGCCACUUGGACGUGGCCCACCGCUCGAUGGGAAAGCACCGUAAGGCUCCAAGAAACUAAAAGGCUCAUAACUAUUGUUUAGAAAUGUAAAUGGCCCUAAAUUAUGGCCAGCGGUGGACGUGCAUCUAAGGGGAGGAAGGGACGUUCUGUAAUCGAUCUCGGGGCUUUUUGGCGUCUCCAACGGCAAGGCAAAUACAAACGGUUUGUAGAUGUAUGUGGGCGAAGGUUCUCAGAGUUAAGAAUGUCUAUUUUGAUUAGAAAUUAAAAUGAAUUUUGGGAAAACAAUUACCUGCCUGGGAUCCUGGGAAAGUAUAACUUCCUGGUUUCUCUGCCAGGAAGAGUGAUUGUAAAACGAGGGCUGAAACUCUCACAAACAAGAUUUUAGAAUUUUAUCCAAACAGCUGCAGUUCACCUUCAAGGAGCCCAGACUUACUUGGGGUCUGGUGGAUGUUGCAAUGCCAAGUUUGAGAUCUUCCCAGUCUGGUGCCAAGAGCUGGCCCCACAGGACAAGGAAUAGUUACUCUCUUAAUGGGAGCAAAGAACAAAACUCUCUCCCCCACCCAACUUCUCUGCUUUGUUGUGAAAUUGUCACUGUGCCUUUGAGGAGAGAUUAAAAUCCUAACCAUGUCAAAUUUAAAGGGCAGGUUCCCAGGCGGGGAAGGGAGGGAGGUUCAAGGAGGGGCGCGGGGGUGGGGGGUGAGCCAGUGGCAGUGAAUUUAUGGAGGAUUCAGGGAUCACAAAGUCACGGGAUGUAACUCAGUUAAAAGUAAUGGAAAAGCAUGAGCUCACAAUUUUAAAGUAAUAGUAAAACAAGGCAGCAAGCGUAUUCUGGUUUGUUCUCUGCUUCUGUUCUUGAGCCUGCUUGGGCAUCUGGGAGCAGGUUUCCUGAGGCACAGCACGCAUGCCAAGCGAGCGGCUGUUGGCACCUCCUUUCCUGGCCUUGACACACACAACGGUGCAAUGGAGAGCGAGGCUGAAUAGCCCACCCACUGUGGAACACUUUCUGAGAGGUAGAGAGAUGCUCAGCACCGUUGCUGGGGCAGGGGGGUGGAGGUGAAGAAAAAGUAUACGAACUCCUAAGGCACAGACAGAACAGCCUAGAGAGUUUGAAACAGGGAAUAAGAAAGCUGCGUUGUGUGGCAGCCUUGACAGAUUCUCAAACACACAGGACUCCCCAGCUUUCCAGAAGGCAGCCGGGAUCCCUCCAGAGCCCUUGAGUCUCUCAUCCAGCUCUAAACCUUUGGAAGUGCCCUGCUGGCUCUGCAUAGCAGCCCCUGCACAUGCUUUCUCCUGGAGCCAUUUGCAAAGAUGAGGAAAGGUGGGUGGAACUGAAGCAGUUCUAAUCCCGUUAGUUUGGGUCCCAGAGAGCAAAUGCUGGGGUGUGGGAGGGAGGGUCCCCAACUCCACCAUAUGGAGGGAGCACAUAUCAGCAGUGGGCCUGACUGUUCAGGACUGAGCAUCACUGUUGUCUCUGGAUGGAC